AUGCGGCGGCGGCGUAGUAAUGUAUCGUCAGACGUAGGCCUUGGGCGGGUACUUGGCGACGCAGUCCGCCCACGGGUUGCAGGCCUUCUCCUCCGGCCCCGGGGGCGACACGGCCGGCACGUCGUGGAGCGCGCGCCACACCGCGCUGUUGCACUUGAACCCGGACCCGAAGCCGAUCUGCCACACGCGGUUGCCGCGCUUCACCCGGCCCUUGGCCUCGGCGUAGGCCAGCUCGUACCACAGCGAGCUGCUGCUGGUGUUGCCGAACCGGUGCAGCGCGCACCUGCUCGGCUCCAUGUCCUUGUCCUCCAGGCUCAGGCUGCGCUGCACCUCCUCCAGCACCGCCCGCCCGCCGGCGUGCACGCAGAAGUGCUCGAAGGCUCGCCGGAAGUUGGGGAUGUAGGGCCGCACGCCCUUGGCGCGGAACACCCGGCGCAUCAUCAGCGACUUGAGGAACUUGAGCUGCUCGCUCAGGGGCAGCACCAGCGGCCCCAGCGUGGUGAUGUUGGUCUUGAGCGCGUCGCCGGCCACCGUCAUGAGCUCCCGCGCCAGCGACACGCCCACCUUGCCCACGUCGUCCUCGCGCUGGUACACGCACUUGAAGCACUCGUCCGUGGCGCCCUUGUGCGUCCGGACCGUGUGCAGGAGGCGGUACUUGGCGCGCCCGGCGUCCGCGCGCCGGUUCGAGAGCAGAGCCGCCGCGCCGCCCAUGCGGAAGAUGCAGUUGGAGAGCAGCAUGGAGCGGUCGUUCCCGAAGUACCAGUUGAGGGUGAUGUUCUCGGUGCUGAGGACGACCGCGUACGCGUUGGGGUUGGCCUGGAGCAUGUCCUUGGCGAGGUCGAUGGCGAUGAGGCCGGCGCUGCACCCCAUGCCGCCCAGGUUGAACGACUUGACGUCCUCCCGCAUCUUGUAAUGGUGGAUGAUCAUGGACGCCAGCGACGGCGUCGGGUUGAAGAGGCUGCAGUUGACGAUGAGGAUGCGCACGUCGCGGCGCGGGUCGAUCCCGGUGGACUCGAACAGAGCGUCCAGGCAGCCGAACAUGACCGCCUCGGCCUCCAGCCGCGCCUCGGCCAUGUUGAGCCUCGGCGGGCGCGCCUGGACGCCGGGGGGCAGGUACGUCUCGUCGCCGAGCGCGGAGCGGGUGGUGAUCUUGGUCUGGAACGCGAGCGUCUCGUCAUUGAAGCAGCCGGUGCUCUCGGUCAUGUCGAGGAAGGCCUCCUUGGUGAUCUUGUUCUGGUCCUCCGGCUUGUAGCACGCGAACUCGACGAGGUAGACCGGGCGAGGCCGCUUGAAGUAGUAGACGGUGAGCAGCAGCAUGGCGGUGCCGAGCCAGGCGACGCAGCUGAGCAGGUCGAUGGAGAGGUAGAUGACGUCGAGGCGGACGAAGGAGUAGGCGGCCGCGGCGAGCACCGGCACGCACAGCAUGGGCAGGUAGGACGUGAGGCUGCCGCCGUGGCGGAGCCCGAGCCUGACGUACUUGAGGUUGACGGAGCGGGCGAAGUCCGGGAGGCGGCGCCGGAUCUUGAUGAUGAUGCUGGUGGGCAGCCGCUCGGCGCCCUCGGACGAGGCCGCCGCCUGCGCGUCCCCGGAGAAUGUCACCUCCGCCGUGAGGCGCUCCCGCUCCAUGAAGGCCGCCGCCGGCGCAGACUCCAUGGAUCUCGAGACGUACUCGCGUGUCGAUCGCCUUUGGUGUGA
rnacentral:rRNA from 1 species